GACGAACGCUGGCGGCGUGCUUAACACAUGCAAGUCGAACGGAAAGGCCCUGCUUUUGUGGGGUGCUCGAGUGGCGAACGGGUGAGUAACACGUGAGUAACCUGCCCUUGACUUUGGGAUAACUUCAGGAAACUGGGGCUAAUACCGGAUAGGAGCUCCUGCUGCAUGGUGGGGGUUGGAAAGUUUCGGCGGUUGGGGAUGGACUCGCGGCUUAUCAGCUUGUUGGUGGGGUAGUGGCUUACCAAGGCUUUGACGGGUAGCCGGCCUGAGAGGGUGACCGGCCACAUUGGGACUGAGAUACGGCCCAGACUCCUACGGGAGGCAGCAGUGGGGAAUAUUGCACAAUGGGCGGAAGCCUGAUGCAGCAACGCCGCGUGCGGGAUGACGGCCUUCGGGUUGUAAACCGCUUUCGCCUGUGACGAAGCGUGAGUGACGGUAAUGGGUAAAGAAGCACCGGCUAACUACGUGCCAGCAGCCGCGGUGAUACGUAGGGUGCGAGCGUUGUCCGGAUUUAUUGGGCGUAAAGGGCUCGUAGGUGGUUGAUCGCGUCGGAAGUGUAAUCUUGGGGCUUAACCCUGAGCGUGCUUUCGAUACGGGUUGACUUGAGGAAGGUAGGGGAGAAUGGAAUUCCUGGUGGAGCGGUGGAAUGCGCAGAUAUCAGGAGGAACACCAGUGGCGAAGGCGGUUCUCUGGGCCUUUCCUGACGCUGAGGAGCGAAAGCGUGGGGAGCGAACAGGCUUAGAUACCCUGGUAGUCCACGCUGUAAACGGUGGGUACUAGGUGUGGGGUCCAUUCCACGGGUUCCGUGCCGUAGCUAACGCUUUAAGUACCCCGCCUGGGGAGUACGGCCGCAAGGCUAAAACUCAAAGGAAUUGACGGGGCCCCGCACAAGCGGCGGAGCAUGCGGAUUAAUUCGAUGCAACGCGUAGAACCUUACCUGGGUUUGACAUGGAUCGGGAGUGCUCAGAGAUGGGUGUGCCUCUUUUGGGGUCGGUUCACAGGUGGUGCAUGGCUGUCGUCAGCUCGUGUCGUGAGAUGUUGGGUUAAGUCCCGCAACGAGCGCAACCCUUGUUCACUGUUGCCAGCACGUUAUGGUGGGGACUCAGUGGAGACCGCCGGGGUCAACUCGGAGGAAGGUGGGGAUGACGUCAAGUCAUCAUGCCCCUUAUGUCCAGGGCUUCACGCAUGCUACAAUGGCUGGUACAGAGAGUGGCGAGCCUGUGAGGGUGAGCGAAUCUCGGAAAGCCGGUCUCAGUUCGGAUUGGGGUCUGCAACUCGACCUCGUGAAGUCGGAGUCGCUAGUAAUCGCAGAUCAGCAACGCUGCGGUGAAUACGUUCCCGGG
rnacentral:rRNA from 1 species